AUUGAACGCUGGCGGCAUGCUUUACACAUGCAAGUCGAACGGCAGCACGGGAGCAAUCCUGGUGGCGAGUGGCGAACGGGUGAGUAAAGUAUCGGAACGUGCCCAGUCGUGGGGGAUAACGUAGCGAAAGUUACACUAAUACCGCAUACGAUCCAUGGAUGAAAGCGGGGGAUCGCAAGACCUCGCGCGAUUGGAGCGGCCGAUAUCAGAUUAGGUAGUUGGUGGGGUAAAGGCUCACCAAGCCGACGAUCUGUAGCUGGUCUGAGAGGACGACCAGCCACACUGGGACUGAGACACGGCCCAGACUCCUACGGGAGGCAGCAGUGGGGAAUUUUGGACAAUGGGCGCAAGCCUGAUCCAGCCAUGCCGCGUGCAGGAUGAAGGCCUUCGGGUUGUAAACUGCUUUUGUACGGAACGAAAAGGUUUGACUUAAUACGUUGGACUCAUGACGGUACCGUAAGAAUAAGCACCGGCUAACUACGUGCCAGCCGCCGCCGUAA
rnacentral:rRNA from 1 species